AUCGGAUGAUCUACUUGCUCCGUGUCUUGAAACUCUUCAUCUAUUGCACCGUCGUGGCCGUCUCUCUGGGACUGAUAACUUUCGAGGUUGACUCUGUUAACGCUCUUUGUAACGUAUUUGGCUACAAGAAAGAAUCCUGUGAGAAGGAUGGCUAAGACCGCACCGGUGACGGCGAUGAUGGUUAUGGCGCCUAAGGAUGAUGAAGAGUCUUGAGAUGGUUGAUACACGGCUGAGAUUGAUGGAGAUUGUGGUCUGAUCGUCUGUGGAGAUGACCAUGGAGGUAGCUGUGGAGAUAUGGUGUAGUAAUCAGGUUCUUGAUAGCAGUUAUAAGGGCAAACCGGGUCACAGAUUCCUAUUGAGCAAUCAAAUGUUUUGUUUGUCUCUGAUGCUAAUAUUGGGAAGAGCUUUCUAUGUUUUCUCUUGGCCAUUAAAGAAAAAUGGUAUUGUUUCUUGGGGUACAAGGAACUAAGAUCAAGAGAAUUUGCAAGGGCAUGUGAGAACUGAAAUGUUCAUAGAAAUUUUAGGUUUUUGACAACGUAGAAGAUGGUUUGAUUUUAUCUUUGGUGUUUCUUUCACAUUCAAGAGAAAGGAAGAUGAAAAUGUCUUCUCAUCUUAGGUAUUGACUUGUCUGUGACAAGGUGAAGCAUCUUCUAAUUGUUUAAUUGGUGGUGAGUCUUAGUCAUGAAAGCCAUAUAUUACCUUUGAGCUUUUGACUCUUUGGCUUUUGAAGACUUAAGUAAUGUUUAUCCUUUGUUGGCCUUCGGCAGACUAUAAUAUAUAAAUAUAUCCCCUGUAUAUUAAUCAUAGAGCAUUACAACAUGUUUUCGUAGCCACGUGUCAUCACGAAAAUGAUUCUUAGAAUUGUUAGAAAAAUAAGUUGGUCCAUAUAAACAUAUUAUAUGCUUUUUAUUAAACUAAUUAUCAAAUUAAUCCCCUAUAUAUUAAUUGAGGAACAUUUGAAAAGAUGUAAUCUCAAUUUUGUAAUAAUUAAAAAAGACCUCUUGCUUAUGUGUCAAUCAAUUAGGUAGUUAAUUAGUCAUACGUAUCAGCCUUACAUUGAAAUUGAAAAACAAGUUGGUCCAAUUCGAUUUUUAUAUCUCACUAGAAACAUUUAAUAUCAACUAUAUAAUAUCAUAUGAUAUUUAUGUUGCAGACCUGUUGUCCUGAUCAACCAGAUCGGAUGAUCUACUUGCUCCGUGUCUUGAAACUCUUCAUCAAUUGCACCGUCGUGGCCGUCUCUCUGGGACUGAUAACUUUCGAGGUUGACUCGGUUUACGCUCUUUGUAACGUAUUUGGCUACAAGAAAGAAACCGGUUAGAAGGAUGGCUAAGACCGCACCGGUGACGGCGAUGAUGGUUAUGGCGCCUAAGGAUGAUGAAGAGUCUU
rnacentral:lncRNA from 1 species